CCCAUUUCUUGAGCAAAGACAAGCAGAAUUUAUUAUCUAAUAUCAGAUUGUAUGAGGAGCUUUCAGCCCAACUCGUGAUCCGAAAGCUCUUAAAGUGCUGGGACAUCUGCUCCAAGUCCCUGCUUGCAAGAUUCAACAUUGGUGGUUGCCAUGGCCCAUGACAGAGGGAAAGAGUUCUGGAGCAUCUUGCAUCAGCAAUGCAACGUUCCAGCCCGGAGGUGACAUCUAUUAUUUCCACUCGCAACUCACUGGAUAGGACUAGUCACAUGACCCUGCCCUAUAAUAAGAAGGCAAGUUCUAAGGAAGCAGCAUCCCCAGGAGCAGCCUUCAAUCAAUAACUCAGAGGACAGUACAUGGUAUAUGAAUACUCCACUCCCCAUCUCAAAUGGGAGAACCCUGAGGGGCAUAUUCUACACUGUCACCCUGAGCUCCUCAGUGGGAUUAAAUUACACUUGCCCACAGUGGAAAUGGGCUUGAUGAUGCACCUUUUAUCAGCUUCCUGCCCUUCCCUGUGUCACUUCUCUCCCCAACCCUGGUAUCUG
rnacentral:lncRNA from 1 species